rnacentral:pre_miRNA from 1 species
AUCACCUGGGAAUCUUGUUAAAAUGCAGCCUCUGAUUCUCUAGGUCUGGAGGAGGGCCCAGCACUCUGCAUUUCUAACAAGCUCCCAGGUGAUGCUGA